UAGUGUUACAGCUCUUUUAGAAUUUGUCUAGCAGACUUUCCAGUCUUUGCUGGAAAGCCCAC
rnacentral:snRNA from 1 species